rfam:Glossina palpalis gambiensis isolate 146720 unplaced genomic scaffold Scaffold27, whole genome shotgun sequence.
GUUUUCAGUAUGUAGGCACCAUGGAUGGCGAAUCAUGCAUGCUGCUACUAAGAACCGGCAGUAUCUUUUGAAGAUUUUC